rnacentral:rRNA from 1 species
AUUGAACGCUGGCGGCAUGCCUUACACAUGCAAGUCGAACGGUAACAGGUCUUCGGAUGCUGACGAGUGGCGAACGGGUGAGUAAUACAUCGGAACGUGCCCAGACGUGGGGGAUAACGAGGCGAAAGCUUUGCUAAUACCGCAUACGAUCUAAGGAUGAAAGCAGGGGACCGCAAGGCCUUGCGCGUUUGGAGCGGCCGAUGGCAGAUUAGGUAGUUGGUGGGAUAAAAGCUUACCAAGCCGACGAUCUGUAGCUGGUCUGAGAGGACGACCAGCCACACUGGGACUGAGACAAGGCCCAGACUCCUACGGGAGGCAGCAGUGGGGAAUUUUGGACAAUGGGCGAAAGCCUGAUCCAGCAAUGCCGCGUGCAGGAUGAAGGCCUUCGGGUUGUAAACUGCUUUUGUACGGAACGAAAAGGCUCUGGCUAAUACCUGGGGCACAUGACGGUACCGUAAGAAUAAGCACCGGCUAACUACGUG